rnacentral:rRNA from 1 species
UACGUAGGGUGCGAGCGUUGUUCGGAAUCAUUGGGCGUAAAGCGCAUGUAGGCGGUUAGUUAAGUCUGAUGUGAAAUCCCGGGGCUCAACCCCGGAACUGCAUUGGAAACUGGCUAACUAGAGGAUGAGAGAGGAGAGUGGAAUUCCUGGUGUAGGGGUGAAAUCCGUAGAUAUCAGGAGGAACAUCGGAGGCGAAGGCGGCUCUCUGGCUCAUUGCUGACGAUGAGAUGCGAAAGAGUGGGGAGCAAACAGG